rnacentral:rRNA from 1 species
AUACGUAGGUGGCAAGCGUUGUCCGGAAUUACUGGGUGUAAAGGGCGAGUAGGCGGGUGCGCAAGUCAGAUGUGAAAUCUCAGGGCUCAACCCUGUGACUGCAUUUGAAACUGCGCGUCUUGAGUGAUGGAGAGGCAGGCGGAAUUCCCGGUGUAGCGGUAAAAUGCAUAGAGAUCGGGAGGAACACCAGUGGCGAAGGCGGCCUGCUGGACAUUAACUGACGCUGAGGCGCGAAAGUGUGGGGAGC